UACGUAGGGUGCAAGCGUUAAUCGGAAUUACUGGGCGUAAAGCGUGCGCAGGCGGCUUUGCAAGACAGAUGUGAAAUCCCCGGGCUCAACCUGGGAACUGCAUUUGUGACUGCAUGGCUAGAGUACGGUAGAGGGGGGGAUGGAAUUCCGCGUGUAGCAGUGAAAUGCGUAGAUAUGCGGAGGAACACCGAUGGCGAAGGCAAUCCCCUGGGCCUGCACUGACGCUCAUGCACGAAAGCGUGGGGAGCAAACAGG
rnacentral:rRNA from 1 species